rnacentral:lncRNA from 1 species
GGUACAGAAAGACUAAAGACACUGCAUUCAACAAACUGGAUGGAACGAGCAAAGGUGUUUGUUUGGUGUUGGCCUAUCUCUUUCUCCUCGCCAUAACAUCUUAGAAUACACAUCCUUGUGCCCAAAUAUCCCACUUCUCAGAAACGAGACUGGACCAAGCAAUAGUAAUCUCCAACUCAGUGCCUUCGCUAAGUUCACAUGUUUCCUGGCUUAUGUUGCAAAACUUUGGUUCGAAGGACACAUUUUGUUGUGCAACUUUAUCACCAGAAUCUGAAUAGGCCUCCAAGACAAAAUUCAGGCUUCCACAAAAGUCUACAGAGACGAUAUUCCUUGUUAGAACAAGGUAACCCUUAGAAGUCAUCGGCAUGGUUGUAUAACGAGAACCAAGCAGCUCAAUUUCCCAAGGUCUGGUAUCAGGACUAAUGACUGAGCAAGCAACUCGACCACCGCAUCCUUUAGGCCAUGACCCCUCCUCUUUGACACGGACGCCCAAAAUAGUGGCCUGGACUGUUUUCUUAAGUACCUCCACACUUAACUCUAUGGUGCAAAAGCAGUUUGUAAAGCAAAUGGGGCCAUCUCGUCUGCUGUAGUAAGCGCACACGCCGUUGAUCAGUGGUUUAUCUCGAGACUUUGUUCUACCUCUUACUUUUAGUUGGAUCUCAAAGACAACAGAUUCCUCGCUGACAAUUGCACGAGAGGGGCCAGUCAAGGUCAAAAAGGGAUCCUGCAAACAUCAUCAAUCACCUCAUUAGCAACUGAUAAACAAGAGGGACCAGUCAGGCUUGCACACACUAUCCCCAAAUUAAAACGAAGAGCAUAUUAAUAAGAUGGUACAGAUAGAUACUUGUUCAUUGAGUAUCUGGCACUCACUCCUACUGCGGGCAAACAGAAGGUUGCGAUUGUGAUCCACAUGGUCUCGGGCGGCGACCGUUCCGUACACUGGCAACGGCCAUUCCAGACCACCUCGUAUUUCUAUGAGUUUGACGGAGAAGAUCUGCAGGCUAGGCGCGACUCGACCAUAGUGCAACGGGGUGCUCCCUGGUAUCAAGUGUGUGUAUUGCAUGGAACUCACUGUCGCUGCAUGCAUCAGAACAAGAUCAAUGGAAACAGGUGUUAGAAAUCUUGUAACAAGAACAGGUACUAGAUAAGCAACAAUUAAAGUAAUUCCCUUACACAAAGAAGUACGGCCAAAGGUAAAAAUGAGGAAGGAAACUAGUUAACCCAAGUUGAGUAAGAUAAGCAAGAUGCAUGCAUGUUUACUCACUCAUGUCUGGGAAGCAACCGAACCCAUCAUUACCCCAUUCUUCCCAGGCAUCAACAUACAUGGCAAAACUCUUCCGUUCGGCAGCCAUCUCCUUGGCCUCGAUUUUUAAUUGUUCGUCUGAUUUGCCUCUAUCCAUCUUCUCAACAGCAUAACCUGCAGGUUCAAGUAUUGACUUGUUUGGUACCAACAUGGAGGUACUCGAUUCAUUUGCCGGCUCACUGGUAUCUAGAACCGUCGAUGACUCCGUCUCGGGCUCUGGCCCCACCUCCGAUAUCAAUUUGGAGUCUAUCCUCGGCACCUGCUGCCCCAUUGAUGCAAUGUCCCAGUCCACCUGCUCCUCGUCACCAACACAUCCUUGUACCGAAAUAUCCCGCUUCUCCGAAACAAGACCAGACCAAGCAAUAGUGAUCUCCAACUCAAUGCCGUGAAGUUCACAAGUAUCCUGACUUAUGUUGCAAAGUUUGGGUUUGAAGGACAAUUCUUUUUGUGCAAUGAUAUCACCAGAUGGUAAGCAUGCCUCUAGCAGAAAAUUCAGGCGCCUGUUAACAUCUACAGAAACGACAUUCCUUGACAGAAGAAGGUAACCAUCAGAAGUCACGGGCAUUGCUCUGCGACGAGAAACAAGCAGCUCAAGUUCUUCCCUAGGCGUGGCGUCAAUUAUUUCACCAUGAAUGACUGAGCACGCGACUCGACCUCCCCAUCCAGAAGGCCAUGACCCCUCCUCUUUGACAUGGACGCCCAAAACAGUGGCCUGGACUGUUUCCCGAACUACCUCCAAUCUUAACUCUAUGGUGCAGAAGCAGUUCGUAAAACAAACAAUACCAUCCUCUCUGUUGUAAGUGCACGCACCAGUGAUCAACGCUCUGUCUUCAGACUCUGUUCUACCUCUUAGUUUCAGUUGGAGUUCAAAGUCUACAGAUUUCUCGCACACAAUUGCACGGGAGGGGCCAGUCAAGGUCAAAAAGGGAUCCU